GAAAUGCGAUAAGUAAUGUGAAUUGCAGAAUUCAGUGAAUCAUCGAAUCUUUGAACGCACAUUGCGCCCAUUAGUAUUCUAGUGGGCAUGCCUGUUCGAGCGUCAUUUCAACCCCUAAGCACAGCUUAUUGUUGGGCGUCUACGUCUGUAGUGCCUCAAAGACAUUGGCGGAGCGGCAGCAGUCCUCUGAGCGUAGUAACUCUUUAUCUCGCUUCUGUUAGGCGCUGCCCCCCCGGCCGUAAAACCCCCAAUUUUUUCUGGUUGACCUCGGAUCAGGUAGGAAUACCCGCUGAACUUAAGC
rnacentral:misc_RNA from 1 species